rnacentral:lncRNA from 1 species
UUUGUGUGUGACCCAUUGGGUUACUUAUCUUAGCCAGCAGUAGGUGCAGGUGCAAGUUGACCUAACCUGAUUAGAAUACCUCUAAUCCAAUUUAGGUUCAAUUUAGUGCUAAACCUGACUUAGCAAUCAGAACCUUUCUGAUGCUUUGAUCUAAUCAAACUCUUUGAUCCGAUCAACCCACAAGACAUGAUUGACGUCUAGCAACGUAUCAUGUCUACCCGGAAGAUGAGAAAUGUAUUGGACAAAUCCAAACAUACCCUUCAGUGGCAAGUUACCGUGCAAUUCAAUCCCUCAGUCAUACUAC